rnacentral:rRNA from 1 species
AGAGUUUGAUCCUGGCUCAGAACGAACGCUGGCGGCGUGGAUAAGACAUGCAAGUCGGACGGGACUUUUCGCUGUAGCAAUACAGUGGAAAGUUCAGUGGCGAACGGGUGCGUAACACGUGGGCAAUCUGCCUUAAAGUGUGGGAUAGCUCGGCGAAAGCCGAAUUAAUACCGCAUGUGGCUACUGGAGACAUCUUCGGGACGCUAAAGGUGGCGCAAGCUACCGCUUUUUGAGGAGCCCGCGGCCUAUCAGCUUGUUGGUGAGGUAACGGCUCACCAAGGCGUUGACGGGUAGCUGGUCUGAGAGGACGACCAGCCACACUGGGACUGAGACACGGCCCAGACACCUACGGGUGGCAGCAGUCGAGAAUUUUUGACAAUGGGGGAAACCCUGAUCGAGCGACGCCGCGUGGAGGAUGAAGGUCUUCGGGUUGUAAACUCCUGUCAUUUGGGAACAAGGCGUAUGUAUUAACUGUACGUGCGUUGAUAGUACCAGAAGAGGAAGAGACGGCUAACUCUGUGCCAGCAGCCGCGGUAAUACAGAGGUCUCAAGCGUUGUUCGGAUUCAUUGGGCGUAAAGGGUGUGUAGGUGGCGCGCUAAGUCGGGUGUGAAAUUUCGGAGCUUAACUCCGAAACUGCAUUCGAUACUGGCGUGCUUGAGGACUGGAGAGGAGACUGGAAUUUACGGUGUAGCAGUGAAAUGCGUAGAUAUCGUAAGGAAGACCAGUGGCGAAGGCGGGUCUCUGGACAGUUCCUGACACUGAGACACGAAGGCCAGGGGAGCAAACGGGAUUAGAUACCCCUGUAGUCC